GCGGUUCCGGUGUUCAGGAUGCCAGGGAUGAUGGGAAGCCUGUUCUUGUUUAUCGGUUUGGAGUGCAUAAUGAGGAGAAAUAAAAACAGAAAGAUCUCCAGAAAGAAGCCAUGGUAAGAUUCAAGGUUUCACAGUCCAAGCUAAUGCCUGUGGACACUUGACCAAGUGAUCUGAGAAAAUUGGAUUUCUGGCAAAACAAGUGUACCUAGACUCAGGCAAGGGUGGAGAACAGAGGGCGACUAGAUUAAAUGGAAAGAAUGCCCAGGCAUCCCAUUGCCUCCCUUUGACGUUCCAGAACUUCAUCAAGACAGUGAUGAGCUACAUGUACACCUGGAGGAGAGUUCAGGAUCAAGCUCAGAAGCGCACAGCUGCCAGCAAGCAGUCUACUACUGAACUGCACCAUCUCUCCAGCCUGUGCUUACUCUUGAAUAGCCCCAAAGUAGUCAAUGGUAUGGCAAAAUAAACCUCCAUUUCAUUUAGAUUUUUAUAGUAUUUUUUGCCACUUAAAUUAUUUUAUGUAGUUGAGUAUGAUUUUUUUUCCCCCUAAGGAAUUCUAUGUAUCUCAAUUUCAAGAGUCUUCAGCCUUUAUGUUAUACAUAAUUUCCUAUAGAUUUCAAAGUUGCUUUAAUAAAAAGUUUAAUGUUAAAACA
rnacentral:lncRNA from 1 species